GGGGGGGGGGGGGGGGGGGGGGGGGGGGGGGGGGGCGAGGGGGGGAGGGGGGCGUGCUGGUGGAUGGAGCGGCGGAGGGGGGAGGAGUGCCGAGGACGCGGCCUGGGAGUGGGGGCAAACGUGCGGAGACGGGCGCUGAGACCGCAUACGUCCUGAGGGCGAAAGUGGGGGGGCUUCUGAGCUAGCGCUAGGAGAAUAGCCUAGGUCGGAUUAGCUAGUGGGUGGGGUAAAGGCCUACCAGGGCGACGAUCCGUAACCGGUCUGAGAGGAUGAUCAGUCACACUGGAACUGAUACACGGUCCCGACUCCUACGGGAGGCAGCAGUGGGCAAUAUUGUACAAGGGGCGAGAGCCUGAUCCAGCCAUGCCGCGUGUGUGAAGAAGGUCUUCGGAUUGUAAAGCACUUUAAGUUGGGAGGAAGGGCAGUAAGUUAAUACCUUGCUGUUUUGACGUUACCAACAGAAUAAGCACCGGCUAACUUCGUG
rnacentral:rRNA from 1 species